rnacentral:rRNA from 1 species
GGGGUGCAGCAGGCGCGAAAACUCUGCAAUAAGCGAAAGCUUGACAGGGUUAUUCUGAGCGAUUUCCGUUAAGGAGAUCUUUUGGCACCUCUAAAAAUGGUGCAGAAUAAGGGGUGGGCAAGUCUGGUGUCAGCCGCCGCGGUAAUACCAGCACCCCGAGUGGUCGGGACGAUUAUUGGGCCUAAAGCAUCCGUAGCCGGUCUUGCAAGUCCUCCGUUAAAUCCAGCUGCUUAACAGAUGGGCUGCGGAGGAUACUACAAGGCUAGGAGGCGGGAGAGGCAAGCGGUACUCAGUGGGUAGGGGUAAAAUCCUCUGAUCCAUUGAAGACCACCAGUGGCGAAGGCGGCUUGCCAGAACGCGCUCGACGGUGAGGGAUGAAAGCUGGGGGAGCAAACCGGAUUAGAUACCCGGGUAGUCCCAGCUGUAAACGAUGCAGACUCGGUGAUGGGCCGGCUUUAUGCCAGCUCAGUGCCGCAGGGAAGCCGUUAAGUCUGCCGCCUGGGGAGUACGGUCGCAAGACUGAAACUUAAAGGAAUUGGCGGGGGAG